rnacentral:misc_RNA from 1 species
UUUGAACCUGAUGCCAUGGAAUUGGGGAACAAACGCCACCCAGUUAGGUUUUGAAGGUCACUAACGCGAUUGUUGAUGAAAACAGUGUUGUCAGGGCGCGUGUGUAAAUAAACCGCAGUAGCUUAAAUGCCCGAUAACAUUAAAACACUAUUUGCCGCAUCAUUACACGUCUGAUUAGAUACGAUCAUCAUAACCGAUACCUAUCAAUAUCGUAAGAGUAUAUUACAUCAAUUACUUAAUGACAUAUCAAUAGAUAGUUAAGGCUUUAAUGGGCUUUAGUCUCUGAUGCAAUUGUAAUAAUGACGCUAAGCCGCUGCGCAGUUAUGCAAUAAUUUAUUUGUUAUCACUUAUCAGGAAAGUUCUGCCGAGCACUUGCUUUGUUGUUGGCACACAUUGCCACGUGUGCCUAUAUAUAUUUGUCAUGACGCCAAUUUAUGGAGCUGGCGCCGAAUAAUUAAGCCCAGUUAGUGUUUACGUUCGGCGUAAUUCGCGCGAGUUUUUGACGCAGAGCUUUAAUAUUUAUUUUUGCAAUCGCGACUUAUUAGCGCUGUAAUUGUUGUUACGGAAUACUUAUUUGGUUACUCAAGAAGCGGUCGACUUCUAUAAAGAUGCCUGACCAGCCAAAUGUAGCGGUGGUGGGAGCAGGAGUGGUAGGCAUAACAGUGGCAAAAUUACUGCAAGACCAACUCAAAGAUGUGAAGAUAACCAUACUCGCCGAUAAAUUCACAGACGAUACCACAAGUCACAUUGCCGCAGGCAUCUAUAGACCCGGAACUAGUUUCAAAGGACCUACAAAAGAAAUCACGAAGAAGUGGCUGAAGGACUCGUGGGAGUUCUUCCAAGAUAUUCUUAAAACACCAGAUGCUGAACGAAUUGGUGUUAUGCCUAUAGGCACAUACAUAUUCUCAAGCGAAAAUUAUCACGUAACUAGAAAUCAUCUAAUUGAAGACAUUGUGCCGCUAUAUCGAGCGGUUACCGACGAGGAAUUAAAACUCGCUCCUAAAAGCACCAAAUUCGGAUCCUACUUUUCAACACUGAAAUUAGAAUGCGGAAAUUAUUUGCCGUGGACGGAGAAAAUAAUCGUCGAAAGAGGCGGGCAACUGUUGAACAAGAAGGUAGAAAGUUUUAAGUCAUUGUCUAAUUACGACCUCGUGUUUAAUUGUUCAGGGUUAGGUGCAAGAUAUUUAUGUAAUGAUCAUGAUCUAGUGCCCAUAAGAGGUCAAGUGAUAAAAGUUAAGGCGCCAUGGGUAAAACAUGCCAUGUAUGGCGACUAUGAUACGUACAUCAUUCCGGGGCUUAACGGGGUGGUUACAUUGGGUGGUGUGAGGGGAUAUGACAGUUACAAUUUGAAUUACUGCAAAUACGAUGCGGCGGCCAUAAUGGAGCGUUGUUGUGAAUUUCUCCCGAGCUUGAAAAACGCUGAAGUUCUCGCACAUAAGGUCGGAUUAAGGCCCCACAGACUGCCCGUUCGUGUUGAACCCGAGCUUAUUGAUGGUGUGAAGGUCGUGCACUGCUACGGACACGGCGGCUACGGAGUCAUGACUGCCCCUGGGACAGCAAUGAAUGCUGUCGAUUUAGGUAUCGAUUUCUUACGUAGUAAUGUAAGAAACAAAUUGUAAUCAGAUAAUAUACCCCCUGCGCGUAUUUAAGCUAUUAUUGAUGCAAUAAUAUAAUCUUUCUACACAACUCUGAAGUUUAAGAACACAAAACAAGAUAUGCUACGAUAAAA